GACGAACGCUGGCGGCGUGCUUAACACAUGCAAGUCGAACGGAAAGGCCCUGCUUUUGUGGGUUGCUCGAGUGGCGAACGGGUGAGUAACACGUGAGUAACCUGCCCUUGACUUUGGGAUAACUUCAGGAAACUGGGGCUAAUACCGGAUAGGAGCUCCUGCUGCAUGGUGGGGGUUGGAAAGUUUCGGCGGUUGGGGAUGGACUCGCGGCUUAGCAGCUUGUUGGUGGGGUAGUGGCUUACCAAGGCUUUGACGGGUAGCCGGCCUGAGAGGGUGACCGGACACAUUAGGACUGAGAGACGGCCCAGAAUCCUACGGGAGGCAGCAGUGGGGAAUAUUGCACAGUGGGCGGAAGCCUGAUGCAGCAACGCCGCGUGCGGGAUGACGGCCUUCGGGUUGUAAACCACUGUCGCCUGUGACGAAGCGUGAGUGACGGUAAUGGGUAAAGAAGCACCGGCUAACUACGUG
rnacentral:rRNA from 1 species